AGUGGGGAAUCUUGGACAAUGGGCGCAAGCCUGAUCCAGCCAUGCCGCGUGAGUGAUGAAGGCCUUAGGGUCGUAAAGCUCUUUCGCCAGAGAUGAUAAUGGCAGUAUCUGGUAAAGAAACCCCGGCUAACUCCGUGCCAGCAGCCGCGGUAAUACGGAGGGGGUUAGCGUUGUUCGGAAUUACUGGGCGUAAAGCGUACGUAGGCGGAUUAGUCAGUCAGAGGUGAAAUCCCAGGGCUCAACCCUGGAACUGCCUUUGAUACUGCUAGUCUUGAGUUCGAGAGAGGUGAGUGGAAUUCCAAGUGUAGAGGUGAAAUUCGUAGAUAUUUGGAGGAACACCAGUGGCGAAGGCGGCUCACUGGCUCGAUACUGACGCUGAGGUACGAAAGUGUGGGGAGCAAACAGGAUUAGAUACCCUGAGAUAGUCCACACCGUAAACGAUGAAUGCCAGUCGUCGGGCAGUAUACUGUUCGGUGACACACUAACGGAUUAAGCAUUCCGCCUGGGGAGUACGGUCGCAAGAUUA
rnacentral:rRNA from 1 species